rnacentral:rRNA from 1 species
GUUGGGUAGGGGAGCGUUCUGUAAGCCUGUGAAGGUGUGUCGUGAGGCAUGCUGGAGGUAUCAGAAGUGCGAAUGCUGACAUAAGUAACGAUAAAGCGGGUGAAAAGCCCGCUCGCCGGAAGACCAAGGGUUCCUGUCCAACGUUAAUCGGGGCAGGGUGAGUCGACCCCUAAGGCGAGGCCGAAAGGCGUAGUCGAUGGGAAACGGGUUAAUAUUCCCGUACUUGGUGUUACUGCGAAGGGGGGACGGAGAAGGCUAUGUUGGCCGGGCGACGGUUGUCCCGGUUUAAGCGUGUAGGUGUGUGUUCCAGGUAAAUCCGGUUCACUUUAACACUGAGGCGUGACGACGAGGCACUACGGUGCUGAAGCAACAAAUGCCCUGCUUCCAGGAAAAGCCUCUAAGCAUCAGGUAACAUCAAAUCGUACCCCAAACCGACACAGGUGGUCAGGUAGAGAAUACCAAGGCGCUUGAGAGAACUCGGGUGAAGGAACUAGGCAAAAUGGUGCCGUAACUUCGGGAGAAGGCACGCUGACACGUAGGUGAAGUGAUUUACUCA